UGCAUACUUCCUUCGUCCUAAAAUUCUUGUCUUAGAUUUGUAUAGAAAUGAAUGUAUCUAAAUACUAANNNNNGACUAGAUACAUUCAUAUCUAGACAACUCUAAGACAAGAAUUUUGAGACGGAAGGAGUACUAU
rfam:Hordeum vulgare subsp. vulgare, WGS project CAJW01000000 data, contig: morex_contig_54146